AUUGCAUUGCAUAAUAUUGUUAUAUUGGGAUCUUUUUCCAGAGGCCAGUUGGAAACUCCAAGCUGUUUAGAAGACCUGGAGAGCCAGAAAGUCAUCAGUCCUAUCCAAAAUGAAGUAAUUUGUGCAGGAAAAACUGACAUUUUAUGGAAGAACUGUGAGUUUCUAGUAAAUCGAAUGUGCCGUCUUGAAAGCCUCAUUCAGUCCUUGAAGACGAACAUCUUUCGCCUGCAAACUGAAAAGGAUUUGAAUCCUCAGAAAACAGGUAUAGAGAUAAGAAUCAUCAGAAAUUUGGUCCUGUGUAGGUGCUUGAUUUCCUUUACUGACUUUCUAUUGCUCGAUGCCCUCCUGUGCUGUCUGGUAACUUUUCUGAAAGAUCGACUGAAUACAAUACAGGACGAUAUUCUAAGGACCUGAAGCUGUUGCAUCUUGAAGUUAUGAAUUUGCGCCAGCAACUGAGAGCUGUAAAAGAGGAAGAAGACAAGGCACAAGACGAGGUGCAAAGGUUGACUGCCACUCUGGAGAUUGCCUCGCAAACAAAGAAGAAUGCAGCCGUUAUUGAAGAGGAACUGAAGACCACAAAACAUAAAAUGAACCUUAAAAUUCAGGAGGGGUACAUUUUGCAGCAAAACUGCAUUGCUCUACGCGAUUCUAUACAGAGCACUCAAGAACUACUGGCCCAGGAACAGAAAAAAAAAGAAGAGUUGGAGACUGCUACUUCACAGCUCAAAUCUGAUCUAAGUAUGAAACUAGAUGCCAGAAAUCAGCUUCUUG
rnacentral:lncRNA from 1 species